rnacentral:rRNA from 1 species
GGAACCGCCUGUUCCCAUCCCGAACACAGCAGCUAAGCCCUCCAGCGCCGAUGGUACUGCAGGAUUACCUGCGGGAGAGUAGGACACUGCCGGGA